GUACAGCUAAUUAAGCCGAGCAAGUCCCUUUCCCCAUGGGACUUUGGUGUGCAAUGGUGGCAAGCAGCAGCCUCCUUGGCAGUAGUGAACGUAGCCUGUUGUCUACACUGGUUGCUUCAAGGGACCUUGGAGACAAUU